UAUUAAAGUUCCUGGUCUGUCCUAACAUG
rnacentral:piRNA from 1 species